rnacentral:rRNA from 1 species
UACGAAGGGUGCAAGCGUUAGUCGGAAUUACUGGGCGUAAAGCGUGCGUAGGCGGUCUCUUAAGUCCGUUGUGAAAGCCCUGGGCUCAACCUGGGAACUGCAGUGGAUACUGAGAAGCUAGAGUGUGUCAGAGGAUGGUGGAAUUCCCGGUGUAGCGGUGAAAUGCGUAGAUAUCAGGAGGAACAUCGAUGGCGAAGGCAGCCCCUUGGACCUGUACUGACGCUCAUGCACGAAAGCGUGGGGAGCAAACAGG